AUUGAACGCUGGCGGCAGGCCUAACACAUGCAAGUCGAGCGGAGCGGCGGACGUGUGAGGAAUGCCUAGGAAUCUGCCCGGUAGUGGGGUAUAACGUCCGGAAACGGGAGCUAAUACCGCAUACUAUCAAAUGAGCCUAGGUUGGAUUAGCUGGUUGGUGGGGUAAAGGCUUACCAAGGCGACGAUGCGUAGCUGGUCUGAGAGGAUGAUCAGUCACACUGGAACUGAGACACGGUCCAGACUCCUACGGGAGGCAGCAGUGGGGAAUAUUGGACAAUGGGCGAAAGCCUGAUCCAGCCAUGCCGCGUGUGUGAAGAAGGUCUUCGGAUUGUAAAGCACUUUAAGUUGGGAGGCGUUACCAACAGAAUAAGCAACGGCUAACUACGUGCCAGCAGCCGCGGUAAUAC
rnacentral:rRNA from 1 species